rnacentral:rRNA from 1 species
GUGCCAGCAGCCGCGGUAAGACGGAGGGUGCUAACGUUGCUCGGAAUUACUGGGCGUAAAGCGCGUGUAGGCGGACCUGAAAGCGAGAUGUGAAAGCCCUGGGCUCAACCCAGGAAGUGCAUUUCGAACUGUGGGUCUUGAGUGCGGGAGAGGGAGGUAGAAUUCCCGGUGUAGAGGUGAAAUUCGUAGAUAUCGGGAGGAAUACCGGUGGCGAAGGCGGCCUCCUGGACCGACACUGACGCUGAGACGCGAAAGCGUGGGGAGCAAACAGG